GGAAGGGACGCAUUUAUUAGAUA
rnacentral:miRNA from 1 species